UGGCGAACGGGUGAGUAACACGUGAGCAACCUGCCCUUGACUCUGGAAUAACAGUUGGAAACAGCUGCUAAUACCGGAUAUGACUCUUCCACGUAUGUGGUUGGGUGGAAAGCUUUUGCGGUCAAGGUUGGGCUCGCGGCCUAUCAGCUUGUUGGUGAGGUAAUGGCUCACCAAGGCUUCGACGGGUAGCCGGCCUGAGAGGGCGACCGGCCACACUGGGACUGAGAUACGGCCCAGACUCCUACGGGAGGCAGCAGUGGGGAAUAUUGCACAAUGGGCGGAAGCCUGAUGCAGCAACGCCGCGUGCGGGAUGACGGCCUUCGGGUUGUAAACCGCUUUCAGUAGGGACGAAGCUAACGUGACGGUACCUACAGAAGAAGGACCGGCUAACUACGUGCCAGCAGCCGCGGUGAUACGUAGGGUCCGAGCGUUGUCCGGAAUUAUUGGGCGUAAAGGGCUUGUAGGCGGUCCGUCGCGUCAGGAGUGAAAACUCAGGGCUUAACCCUGAGCCUGCUUUUGAUAC
rnacentral:rRNA from 1 species